UUUCGUUUUGUCUGUUUGGUUAACCUGUUUUACUUUGACCGAAAGGAAGAAAAAGACACCGUAGUCUAGUUGCUAGAGAACCGGCUGCUGUGACCCACGGCAGAAGUUCGAUUCCAUUAUAGGUUGCACAUCACUUGUUUGUAUUAUAAAGCGAGUUAGGAACCUACCUACCUACCGCAAAGUGCCAAGAAUGAGGCAUUAAAAAGUUCGACUUUUGUUAUUUCAAAUUAUCUUUGUAAGGUGGCGCUAGUAUUAUGGUAGCAGCCGCAUUUUGUAUUUUCUUAGUUAAAUUAGCUAGCAUUUCUGUGCUUCAGGUACCGAGUACGAAGCCACACUGAGUAUUUUUCUGCAUUGCAGCAGCGUGUGUCGCAAGAGGAUGCAGCGCCGUGACGUGUCAUAGCGGCUACCUGACAAAGCGAGGAGUGGCGCGACGGCUCAUCGGCGUCAUCGCUUGCGCCGACGCAGUCUGAGCAGCCAAGCGGACUGCGCUCUCCGCGCAGCUUCCCUCCAGAUUGCGUAACUUUUGAACCCGCCGUUACAUUGACCGUUAUUUUUGUCAGGACCAGCCGUUAAGUUCCUGACGCGUAUUCGUUCAUGAACUGCGGAGCGCCAGACUGCCUUCCACAUCUUCUUUGCUCACGCACAUACCUACGUGCAAGAGAGAAGGCGCGUGAGGGUGAAGACACCGAUCAUGUACCCUCUACAGGUGCCAAAUGGGCAGACGAAAACGCCGCCGCCCAAAGGGCCACCACGAAACUCCUGAACUCCAAGAACCCAGUAAGAAGACCUGCUGAAUUAAGGAGCUACAGCCCAGCAGCCUGUUCGAAACCAGGUUUAUCAAGGUCGAUACCUGUAAUGGACGUUACCCGGAGGCACUCAUAUUUAAUGUUGAUUGCUAGCUUGUCUAGUCGUG